ensembl:lncRNA
GUUACUGGUAGCUGAACACAAGUUCUAAACCAUUGGUGGGAAAACAAGUUAUAGAAACUGAGCUUGGAAAAAACACAGCUGGCCUGAGAUGAAAUACCUGCAGUAACCCUUGUUUUUCGUGUGCCCACAAGUUUGGUUGUUUACUAUUUGGUUGUUUGGUUGUUUACAAUUGAACAGGUAUGGUCUAAAUCAUGUUUCUUAGGGUAUCAACAAGUUGAUGAUGUUUUCUGUAGUUUUGUUCCCGGUGGAGGAUGACUGUGUAGCAGUAGUUCCACGCCAGGAUGGAGCAAGCACAGUACUACAGGGAACCAGAGAGGUACUCCGCGCCACCAUGUCGAGGAUGGCUACAUAGGGCAAGAAGGCAGAGGUAGGCGGACAUUUUAGCUCUGCACAUGAAUAAGAUCAAGUGGCUGACUGAAGAGAAAGUCGAGGUGAGGGCACAGCUGGCUCUACAAUCAGGAGCCAUAAGGAAGAAUCUUUCCAACUGGGAUGCCACUGAUGAGGCUGUCCAGAACCAGGUCCCCAGGUACCAGAAAGGGGCAGCUGACCAUGCAGGUGGGUGAUGUUGCGGCGUUUCAAGGGACCUGCCGUGAAUAUGAAUGACAUCUCCAGC